CAGCGAGGCCCUGGGGCAUCGCCGGGGACUCGCGCAGUGGCAUGGCUCUCCAGUGCCAGUUUGUCACGUGUUGAGUGAGGUCGCGCUGGGCACCGAUACCCUCGCGGGCUUGAACUGAAGAUUUUUUUCUCAAGAAAGAAGAUAACAUUUUCUGAGAUUCAUUUUCUUUCGUUUAUGGUUAAUGACCUUAGCUGACCUCUGAACAUAUAAGUGUAUCUCGUGACCUUCCAAAAUAAGGUUAGACGGUUAAUGGUAAUUAGUGGAAGUUAAAAGAUAUUAAACAAUGGUUCUUGAAAAAGACGUGAUGCUUAUAAGAAAAUCGAGAAAAAAUUAAAAAUGGAUGAUAAUUCCAGAACAAAAAUGGAUGAAGAAAAUAUCCAGAUAAUUCCUUGUGGGAAAUAACCGAUGGAAAAAAAAUUCUGACAGUAGUGAGAAAAAUAGAUUAAUGAAUUAAAGGAUAGUGAGAAAAAUAGA
rnacentral:lncRNA from 1 species